rnacentral:lncRNA from 1 species
UUACCACAUUCCAAAGUGCCUGUGGGGAGAAACGGCGCAGCUGGGACUCUGUGCUGUGGCAGCCUAAGCGAACCUCUUCACGGGCUAAUGACAAUUGCAGGCAUUGUUGGGCUGUGUCCUAAGGUGAAUCAACAUAAAGAAAAGCCCUGGCUGCUCGUGCACUGAUAACUUCAUCUUUUCGGACAUCUGGGAACUACCGCCACAAUGUCUGGAAAAAAAAUGACUUCAAACUAAUGCAGCAGAGGCAAACCAUGGUUUGGCCAAAAAUGGAACAGAAUUUACAAGGGAAAAGGGAAGUUCCUGGAGUAAUAUGUGUAGGUCAGAUGAGGAUGGAACUGGUGAAUGAGCAGAAGAGAAGGUUGGAAGAGUGCAGUGGUGAUGACAGCCCUCCGCUGCUCCUUCCCCAGAGGAAGGAGCUCCAGCCCAGUCUCCUCUUCAAUCAAUGGCUUCAGAAUCUGAAAACUGUCUCAGGACAAGAAAGUUGGCAAAGAAACAUAAUUUUUAUUAGGGUGACUGCCUGAGCCUCCUGAUGAUCCAUUUUGAUUUCUUCUCAUGAUACAGGUUGAACCCUUGUUAGAUGCACAUUUAUUUAGCCCUGAGGGAUGCCACAGUCUGUUAACAAUUCAUAACUCUCUGCAGAUCAUAUCUUCCUGGCUACCAUUCCAACCUUGCUGCUUUUUAUAAAAAUCACAUCCACCUGACCGUUAAGUGCUGUCACCUAGGUUCAAUUGUUUUGGUGAUCCAAUCACCCCAUUGCUAUCAAUCAGUGAGCUUUGUUCUGUAAUGGUUUCUCCUACCAUUAUCAGUGGUCUAUAAACAAGAGCCAUUGCUAAACUUCUUGAUGUUAGUGAUCCUCUCAUCAGAGCUUUCCUAAUGGCCUUGGUAAAUUGUAUACCUGCUGGGUCUUCCCAUAGAACACAAUAUCAGGUGGGGUUUUGGGCUUUAGAUAUUAUAUCCCCUUUGGCAUACCUACUUUCUUAACUUUUUUUAUUAAUUUCCUCCAUCUUCUUCCAUAAAAACUAUGACAUUUUAUCCUUACUAGGUGUGGGCUAUUGCAUUUUUAUGUUCCCAGAGCUAUCUUUGUAACCAGUUUGCCAUAUCUCUAGGGUCCUUGCCACAGUAUUAAAUCCUGUAACUCAAAAGAAUACUCCUAAUUCAAUAAAAUUUCUCUUAACC